AAUGAACGCUAGCGGCAGGCUUAAUACAUGCAAGUCGAGGGGCAGCACGGUUAGCAAUAACUGGUGGCGACCGGCGCACGGGUGCGUAACACGUAUACAAUCUACCUUAAACAGGGGGAUAGCCUUUCGAAAGAGAGAUUAAUACCCCGUAAUAAAUUGAACGGCAUCGUUUGAUUUUGAAAGCUCCGGCGGUUUGAGAUGAGUAUGCGUCUGAUUAGCUAGUUGGUGAGGUAACGGCUCACCAAGGCGACGAUCAGUAGGGGAUCUGAGAGGACUAACCCCCACACUGGUACUGAGACACGGACCAGACUCCUACGGGAGGCAGCAGUAAGGAAUAUUGGUCAAUGGAGGCAACUCUGAACCAGCCAUGCCGCGUGCAGGAUGACGGCCCUAUGGGUUGUAAACUGCUUUUAUACAAGAGAAAACCCUGGUACGUGUACCAGGUUGAUAGUAUUGUAAGAAUAAGCAUCGGCUAAACUUCGUGCCAGCAGCCGCGGUAAU
rnacentral:rRNA from 1 species